rnacentral:rRNA from 1 species
CAAAAGCGUAUAUUAAAGUUGUUGCAGUUAAAAAGCUCGUAGUUGGAUUUCGGGGCAGCCUGGCUGGUCCGCCGCAAGGCGAGUACUGGUCAGCCGCCCUUCCUCUCGAAAGCCCCGACUGCUCUUCGUUGCAGUGGUCGGGUAGUUCGGGACGUUUACUUUGAAAAAAUUAGAGUGUUCAAGGCAGGCCUACGCCUGAAUACAUUAGCAUGGAAUAAUGGAAGAGGACCUCGGUCCUAUUUUGUUGGUUUCCAGGGCCGAAGUAAUGAUUAAGAGGGACAGUUGGGGGCAUUCGUAUUUAAUUGUCAGAGGUGAAAUUCUCGGAUUUAUGAAAGACGAACAACUGCGAAAGCAUUUGCCAAGGAUGUUUUCAUUAA